rnacentral:rRNA from 1 species
UACAGGGGGUGCAAACGUUGCUCGGAAUCAUUGGGCGUAAAGCGCACGUAGGCGGUCUGUUAUGUCGGAUGUGAAAGCCCUUGGCUCAACUGAGGAAGUGCAUCCGAAACUGGCAGGCUAGAGUACUAAAGAGGGUCGCGGAAUUCCCGGUGUAGAGGUGAAAUUCGUAGAUAUCAGGAGGAACACCAGUGGCGAAGGCGGCUUUCUGGACGGUAACUGACGCUGAGACGCGAAAGCGUGGGGAGCAAACAGG